rnacentral:rRNA from 1 species
CAGUGGCGAACGGGUGAGUAACACGUGGGCAAUCUGCCCUGCACUCUGGGACAAGCCCUGGAAACGGGGUCUAAUACCGGAUAACACCUUCUCCCGCAUGGGGGUGGGUUAAAAGCUCCGGCGGUGCAGGAUGAGCCCGCGGCCUAUCAGCUUGUUGGUGGGGUAAUGGCCUACCAAGGCGACGACGGGUAGCCGGCCUGAGAGGGCGACCGGCCACACUGGGACUGAGACACGGCCCAGACUCCUACGGGAGGCAGCAGUGGGGAAUAUUGCACAAUGGGCGAAAGCCUGAUGCAGCGACGCCGCGUGAGGGAUGACGGCCUUCGGGUUGUAAACCUCUUUCAGCAGGGAAGAAGCGCAAGUGACGGUACCUGCAGAAGAAGCACCGGCUAACUACGUGCCAGCAGCCGCGGUAAUACGUAGGGUGCGAGCGUUGUCCGGAAUUAUUGGGCGUAAAGAGCUCGUAGGCGGUCUGUCACGUCGGAUGUGAAAGCCCGGGGCUUAACCCCGGGUCUGCAUUCGAUACGGGCAGACUAGAGUGUGGUAGGGGAGAUCGGAAUUCCUGGUGUAGCGGUGAAAUGCGCAGAUAUCAGGAGGAACACCGGUGGCGAAGGCGGAUCUCUGGGCCAUUACUGACGCUGAGGAGCGAAAGCGUGGGGAGCGAACAGGAUUAGAUACCCUGGUAGUCCACGCCGUAAACGUUGGGAACUAGGUGUUGGCGACAUUCCACGUCGUCGGUGCCGCAGCUAACGCAUUAAGUUCCCCGCCUGGGGAGUAC